rnacentral:rRNA from 1 species
UACGUAGGGGGGCAAGCGUUGUCCGGAUUUAUUGGGCGUAAAGAGCGUGUAGGCGGCCAGGUAGGUCGGUUGUGAAAACUGGAGGCUCAACCUUCAGAGGUCGACCGAAACCAUCUGGCUAGAGUCCGGGAGAGGAGAGUGGAAUUCCUGGUGUAGCGGUGAAAUGCGCAGAUAUCAGGAAGAACACCCGUGGCGAAAGCGGCUCUCUGGAACGGUACUGACGCUGAGACGCGAAAGCGUGGGGAGCGAACAGG